GACGAACGCUGGAGGCGUGCUUAACACAUGCAAGUCGAACGGACAGGCCCUGCAUUUGCGCCGUGCUCGAGUGGCGAACGGGUGAGUAACACAUGAGUAUCCUGCCCUUGACUUUGGGAUAACUUCACGAAACUGGGGCGAGUACCGGAUAGGAGCUCCUGCUGCGUGGUGGGGGUUGGAAAAUUGCGGCGGUUGGGGAGGGAGUCGCGGCUUAUCCGCUUGUUGGUGGGGUCGUGGCUUACCAGGGCGUUGAAGGGUAGCCGCCCUGACAGGGUGACCGGCUACAUUGGGAGUGAGAUACGGCCCAGACGCCUACGGGAGGCAGGAGUGGGAAACUGAGCACAAUGGGCGGCAGCCUGGAGGAGCAACUCCGAGUGCGGGAUGUCGGCGUUAGGGUAGGAAACAGGUUUAGCGUGAGACGAAGCGUGAGUGACGGUAAUGGGUAAAGAAGCACGGGCUAACUACGU
rnacentral:rRNA from 1 species